GACGUAGGGCGCGAGCGUUGUCCGGAUUUAUUGGGCGUAAAGAGCUCGUAGGCGGCUUGUCGCGUCGACUGUGAAAUCCCGCGGCUCAACUGCGGGUCUGCAAUCGAUACGGGCAGGCUAGAGUUCGGUAGGGGAGACUGGAAUUCCUGGUGUAGCGGUGAAAUGCGCAGAUAUCAGGAGGAACACCGGUGGCGAAGGCGGGUCUCUGGGCCGAUACUGACGCUGAGGAGCGAAAGCGUGGGGAGCGAACAGG
rnacentral:rRNA from 1 species